rnacentral:rRNA from 1 species
GACAGAGGGUGCAAACGUUGCUCGGAAUCACUGGGCGUAAAGGGCGUGUAGGCGGAUCGGCAAGUCGGGCGUGAAAUCCCCGGGCUUAACCUGGGAAUGGCAUUUGGGACUGCAAGGCUGGAGUGCGGCAGAGGAGACUGGAAUUCCUGGUGUAGCAGUGAAAUGCGUAGAUAUCAGGAGGAACACCUGUGGUGUAGACAGCUUACUGGACCAUCACUGACGCUGAGACACGAAAGCGUGGGUAGCAAACAGG